rnacentral:rRNA from 1 species
UGCAAGUCGAACGAGGUUAUACAGUAACACCGUAUGACCUAGUGGCAGACGGGUGAGUAAUAUUUAGGAAACUUGCCUUAAAGUGGGGAAUACCCCCGAGAAAUCGGGGCUAAUACCCCAUAAGACCACAACCCGGCAUCGGGAAGGGGUUAAAGACGUAAGUCGCUUUAAGAUAGUCCUGAAUCCUAUCAGCUAGUUGGUGAGGUAACGGCCCACCAAGGCUAAGACGGGUAUCCGGCCUGAAAGGGUGAUCGGACACACUGGAACUGAGACACGGUCCAGACUCCUACGGGAGGCAGCAGUGAGGAAUUUUGGACAAUGGGCGAAAGCCUGAUCCAGCGACGCCGCGUGAAGGAUGAAGGCCUUCGGGUCGUAAACUUCUUUUAGAGGGGACGAAACAAAUGACGGUACCCUCGGAAUAAGCCACGGCUAACUACGUGCCAGCAGCCGCGGUAAUACGUAGGUGGCGAGCGUUACUCGGAAUUACUAGGCGUAAAGCGCAUGUAGGUGGUCGAAUAAGUCCAUGGUUAAAUCUCCCGGCUUAACUGGGAACUGUCCAU